UGUGAGCGUCGGCCGAAAACGUGGCGCCCGAAGUGAUACUCCAGGAAGCCAACCUCAAGCCAAGCCAACCGGCGCGGGGAAGCAGACGUCCUCAGGCCGCCUCCCGCCAGGAAUGGACAAGACAUCGAGUAAGGACGGACGGAAGCAGCCAGCGGAAGACACGAGCCCUCCGGGAGAAAACCUGAAAAUGCGUCAGGCGAACGAAACGCGCAAAAAAUGCCCCGCGCGGUUCAACAAGCUACAAAAAAAGCUAACAAUGUCGAGA